UACGGAGGGUGCAAGCGUUAUCCGGAUUCACUGGGUUUAAAGGGUGCGUAGGCGGCGCGGUAAGUCGGGGGUGAAAUCUUGGAGCUUAACUCCGAAACUGCAUUCGAUACUGCCGUGCUUGAGGACUGGAGAGGAGACUGGAAUUUACGGUGUAGCGGUGAAAUGCGUAGAUAUCGUAAGGAAGACCAGUGGCGAAGGCGGGUCUCUGGACAGUUCCUGACGCUGAGGCACGAAGGUCAGGGGAGCAAACGGG
rnacentral:rRNA from 1 species